AUUGAACGCUGGCGGCAUGCCUUACACAUGCAAGUCGAACGGUAACAGGUCUUCGGAUGCUGACGAGUGGCGAACGGGUGAGUAAUACAUCGGAACGUGCCCGAUCGUGGGGGAUAACGAAGCGAAAGCUUUGCUAAUACCGCAUACGAUCUACGGAUGAAAGCGGGGGAUCUUCGGACCUCGCGCGGACGGAGCGGCCGAUGGCAGAUUAGGUAGUUGGUGGGAUAAAAGCUUACCAAGCCGACGAUCUGUAGCUGGUCUGAGAGGAUGAUCAGCCACACUGGGACUGAGACACGGCCCAGACUCCUACGGGAGGCAGCAGUGGGGAAUUUUGGACAAUGGGCGCAAGCCUGAUCCAGCCAUGCCGCGUGCAGGAUGAAGGCCUUCGGGUUGUAAACUGCUUUUGUACGGAACGAAAAGGUGCCUUCUAAGAAAGGGCGCUCAUGACGGUACCGUAAGAAUAAGCACCGGCUAACUACGU
rnacentral:rRNA from 1 species